ACGAGCAGCGCGAGGAGCGCCCACAUGCCGCCUGCACCGGCCGCUCCGGUCAGAAAGAGCGCGUCCACGCUUGGAGGUGCGGCGCAUGCGCAUCAGAGGACUAAGGGACCACCCCCCCAACAGAACGCAUGCGCAGGAGGAUUUUAUGACUAAGAAUCCCAUCUCCAGUUGAAAACCUCAAAGGAUUCAGAGAAGGCAAAUUCAGCUUACUGCUCUGCAACGAGGCCUAGACACUGCUAGAUCUAAUCAGUGGUAGGCUACUACGAUGAGCUUAAAAGAGUUCUUAGCCUGCAAAAAGAACCACCACUUUGCUGUGAAAUCAUAGAAGAUUAGGUUUGGAAGAGACCUCAGGAGGUCAUCUAGUCCAACCCCUUGCUCAAAGCAGGACCAACACCAACUAAACCAUCCCAGCCUGGGCUUUGUCAAGUCUGGCCUUAAAA